rnacentral:lncRNA from 1 species
UAUCAUUACACAGGAAUUUCACAUUACCUUCCCAGUUCAUCGUACUGGGUUAUAGUCUUGCCAAACAAGAAACUAAUCAAACAUGAAUCCUUUUCUGAAACAUUGGCAACUACUGCGUCCGCAUUGCACAUAUAUGACUUCUUUUUCAAACCAACAGGAUCGCUUUCAAUGUACACUUGCCAUCCACAAUCAAUUAAAUUUUCUCUACACAAUUCAACAUUUAACAGGUUGGGUGCUAGUCUUAAACAAACUUAAAACUACUUUGUCUGUGCCAAUUCAUUUUGUCUCGUUUCAUGUUCUGUUCAUUUAACACCUUUACAAAUGCAGUCAAAACACCCCUUCAUGUUCCGGAAUUUAUGAUAGGGGAGCUUCCAAUUAUUGCAACUAAUUUUACAUGCCAAACCAUGAUAUGCUUGCACAAAACCAUUAUGUCUAAUACACAAACUCAAAUAACUGCUUACAUAACAGGUGAAAGUAGCAUAUGCCAAAACGCUGAUUCUGUUUUUUUCUAAAACCCAAUAAACAACAACAAAAAAAUUACAUAACACAAUUAAUGAAGUCUGAAGGUUUCAACUUUUAUUAAUCAUUAUUCUUUCUCAUAUUAGCCAAAGACCAAAGAUAUAUGACAAACGGUAACAUAAUAACAAGGAAUGGUGUCAACUAUUUUAAACAAUACUCCAGUUUAAUUUUAAGGUGGGGUACUACGAUUACUUGACCAGGGAAUAUUAAAUAUUCCACCAGACUUACUGUGUCCAGGCCAUCAUUAUACGCAGCUGUUGGCGAUGAAGUGCAAACUGAAUUGGUACCCUCGGCCGUCACCAUAUCCUUGUAUUCGGCCUCCUCUUCAAUUACUUCCUUAACCACCUCACAAACUAUGUUAUCAAUCCCUUCAUCCGUCAGUUGUUGCACCAAUUGUUGUAGUGUGAUAAUAGCUUCACGAAGAACAAUCAUGUCCGGGUGCAUUUCAGAAAACGUAGAUCUAACUUGGUUUAUUUGCACUUUCAGUUCUUCAACAACCUUCGUAACUCGCGCAAGAUCUUCUACUACAGUAGUUUUCAAUCCGGUGCUACAGUCUUCCGAUCCCCCAGGUUUAUAUUGA